UGGGGAAUAUUGGACAAUGGGGGCAACCCUGAUCCAGCAAUGCCGCGUGUGUGAAGAAGGUCUUCGGAUUGUAAAGCACUUUCGACGGGGACGAUGAUGACGGUACCCGUAGAAGAAGCCCGGCUAACUUCGUGCCAGCAGCCGCGGUAAUACGAAGGGGGCUAGCGUUGCUCGGAAUGACUGGGCGUAAAGGGCGUGUAGGCGGUUUACACAGUCAGAUGUGAAAUCCCCGGGCUUAACCUGGGAGCU
rnacentral:rRNA from 1 species